CCUGGUUGAUCCUGCCAGUAAUCAUAUGCUUGUCUCAAAGAUUAAGCCAUGCAUGUCUAAGAAGUACAUGCCGAAAUGAAGGCGAAAACCUGCGAAUGGCUGAUUAAAUCAGUUAUGGUUCCUUAGAUCGUUUCUUCCUACUUGGAUAACUGUGGCAAUUCUAGAGCUAAUACAUGCAGUGAGCCUGGAGCCCUUUGGGUAACGGGUGCUUUUAUUAGACCAAGAUCGAUCGGGUUUCGGCCCGUAUUGUGUGGUGACUAUGGAUAACUUUGUGGUGAUCGCAUGCCGGCGACGUUUCUUUCAAGUGUCUGCCUUAUCAACUUUCGAUGGUAGGUUACUUGCUUACCAUGGUUGUUACGGGUAACGGAGAAUCAGGGUUCGAUUCCGGAGAGGGAGCCUGAGAAACGGCUACCACAUCCAAGGAAGGCAGCAGGCGCGCAAAUUACCCACUCCCGGCACGGGGAGGUAGUGACGAAAAAUAACAAUACGGGACUCUUUUGAGGCCCCGUAAUUGAAAUGAGUACACUCUAAAUCCUUUAACGAGGAUCAAUUGGAGGGCAAGUCUGGUGCCAGCAGCCGCGGUAAUUCCAGCUCCAAUAGCGUAUACUAAAGCUGCUGCGGUUAAAAAGCUCGUAGUUGGAUCUCAGUUCCAGACUAGUAGUGCAUCUACCCGAUGCGACGGCUCGGACUGAACAUCAUGCCGGUUCUUUCUUGGUGCACUUCAUUGUGUGCCUCGAGAUGGCCGGUGCUUUUACUUUGAAAAAAUUAGAGUGCUCAACGCAGGCGAGUCGCCUGAAUAAACUUGCAUGGAAUAAUAGAACAAGACCUCGUUUCUGUUCUGUUGGUUUUUGGAAUACGAGGUAAUGAUUAAGAGGGACGGACGUGCAGGGGGCAUUCGUAUUGCGGCGCUAGAGGUGAAAUUCUUGGACCGUCGCAAGACGAACUACUGCGAAAGCAUUUGCCAAGAAUGUUUUCAUUGAUCAAGAACGAAAGUCAGAGGUUCGAAGGCGAUCAGAUACCGCCCUAGUUCUGACCAUAAACGAUGCCAACCAGCGAUCCGCCUGAGUUACUCAAAUGACUCGGCGGGCAGCUUCCGGGAAACCAAAGUAUUUGGGUUCCGGGGGAAGUAUGGUUGCAAAGCUGAAACUUAAAGGAAUUGACGGAAGGGCACCACCAGGAGUGGAGCCUGCGGCUUAAUUUGACUCAACACGGGAAAACUUACCCGGCCCGGACACUGGGAGGAUUGACAGAUUGAGAGCUCUUUCUUGAUUCGGUGGAUGGUGGUGCAUGGCCGUUCUUAGUUGGUGGAGCGAUUUGUCUGGUUAAUUCCGAUAACGAACGAGACUCUAGCCUAUUAAAUAGGUGCGGGGUUGGUUCCCAGCGCCUUACAACCUUCUUAGAGGGACACAAGCGGCUACUGCGCGAAACAGCAAUAACAGGUCUGUGAUGCCCUUAGAUGUCCGGGGCCGCACGCGCGCUACACUGAAGGAAGCAGCGUGUCUUUAUCCCUGUCUGAAAAGACUGGGUAACCCGUGGAACUUCUUUCGUGUGAUUGGGAUAGGGGCUUGCAAUUGUUCCCCUUGAACGAGGAAUUCCCAGUAAGCGCGAGUCAUAAGCUCGCGUUGAUUACGUCCCUGCCCUUUGUACGUCGCUACUACCGAUUGAAUGAUUUAGUGAGGUCUUCGGACCGAUGUCCGGCGCGGCCUUUCGGUUGCGCCGGUCUGUUGGAAAGAUGACCAAACUUGCUCAUUUAGAGGAAGUAAAAGUCGUAACAAGGUUUCCGUCGGUGAACCUGCGGAAG
rnacentral:rRNA from 1 species